rnacentral:rRNA from 1 species
CAGUAGCCACGGUAAUACGAAGGGUGCAAGCGUUACUCGGAAUCACUGGGCGUAAAGCGUGCGUAGGUGGUGGUUUAAGUCCGUUGUGAAAGCCCUGGGCUCAACCUGGGAAUUGCAGUGGAUACUGGGUCACUAGAGUGUGGUAGAGGAUAGUGGAAUUUCCGGUGUAGCAGUGAAAUGCGUAGAGAUCGGAAGGAACAUCUGUGGCGAAGGCGACUAUCUGGGCCAACACUGACACUGAGGCACGAAAGCGUGGGGAGCAAACAGGAUUAGAUACCCCCGUAGUCCCUGUCUCUUAUAC